UUUUAUCCUUAAUUUUGAUAUAUUUCUGCAGUAAUGUCGCUGCAUUAGUUAAUUCCAGAUUGCGUCCAGAAUUGUCGUCGCAAUUGACAACUGUCUGGAUAAAAAACCAAAAAUACGUGAGUUGUCCAGUCAGGUGUAACUUCUCUGUAGGAACAAGGAUAGAAGAAUCUUGAGGGAAGGACACCUGUAUUGUUGAGGAAAACAUAAAAGGUUAACGUGAGAAUAAUGGAAAGAUGA
rnacentral:lncRNA from 1 species